GUGCCUAUAGCUCAGUUGGUAGAGCGCCGGAUUGUGGUUCCGGAUGUCACGGGUUCAAGCCCCGUUAGGCACCCCA
rnacentral:tRNA from 1 species